UGCAGGCUUAACACAUGCAAGUCGAGGGGAAACGACAUCGAAAGCUUGCUUUUGAUGGGCGUCGACCGGCGCACGGGUGAGUAACGCGUAUCCAACCUGCCCACCACUUGGGGAUAACCUUGCGAAAGUAAGACUAAUACCCAAUGACGUCUCUAGAAGACAUCUGAAGGAGAUUAAAGAUUUAUCGGUGAUGGAUGGGGAUGCGUCUGAUUAGCUUGUUGGCGGGGUAACGGCCCACCAAGGCGACGAUCAGUAGGGGUUCUGAGAGGAAGGUCCCCCACAUUGGAACUGAGACACGGUCCAAACUCCUACGGGAGGCAGCAGUGAGGAAUAUUGGUCAAUGGACGAGAGUCUGAACCAGCCAAGUAGCGUGCAGGAUGACGGCCCUAUGGGUUGUAAACUGCUUUUAUAAGGGAAUAAAGUGAGUCUCGUGAGACUUUUUGCAUGUACCUUAUGAAUAAGGACCGGCUAAUUCCGUGCCAGCAGCCGCAGUAAUACGGAAGGUCCGGGCGUUAUCCGGAUUUAUUGGGUUUAAAGGGAGCGUAGGCCGGAGAUUAAGCGUGUUGUGAAAUGUAGACGCUCAACGUCUGCACUGCAGCGCGAACUGGUUUCCUUGAGUACGCACAAAGUGGGCGGAAUUCGUGGUGUAGCGGUGAAAUGCUUAGAUAUCACGAAGAACUCCGAUUGCGAAGGCAGCUCACUGGAGCGCAACUGACGCUGAAGCUCGAAAGUGCGGGUAUCGAACAGGAUUAGAUACCCUGGUAGUCCGCACGGUAAACGAUGGAUGCCCGCUGUUGGUCUGAAUAGGUCAGCGGCC
rnacentral:rRNA from 1 species